AACGAACGCUGGCGGCAGGCUUAACACAUGCAAGUCGAACGCCCCGCAAGGGGAGUGGCAGACGGGUGAGUAACGCGUGGGAAUCUACCUAGUUCUACGGAACAACUGAGGGAAACUUCAGCUAAUACCGUAUACGCCCUACGGGGGAAAGAUUUAUCGGAAUUAGAUGAGCCCGCGUUGGAUUAGCUAGUUGGUGGGGUAAUGGCCUACCAAGGCGACGAUCCAUAGCUGGUCUGAGAGGAUGAUCAGCCACACUGGGAGUGAGACACGGCCCAGACUCCUACGGGAGGCAGCAGUGGGGAAUAUUGGACAAUGUGCGCAAGCCUGAUCCAGCCAUGCCGCGUGAGUGAUGAAGGCCUUAGGGUUGUAAAGCUCUUUCAGUGGGGAAGAUAAUGACGGUACCCACAGAAGAAGCCCCGGCUAACUUCGUGCCAGCCGCCGCGGUAACAC
rnacentral:rRNA from 1 species